AGAGUUUGAUCCUGGCUCAGGAUGAACGCUAGCGGCAGGCCUAAUACAUGCAAGUCGAGGGGUAACAUUAGUACUUGUACUAGAUGACGACCGGCGCACGGGUGCGUAACGCGUAUGCAACCUACCCAUUACUGGAAGAUAGCCCAGAGAAAUUUGGAUUAAUAUUCCAUAGUAUCAUUGGAUCGCAUGGUUUAAUGAUUAAAGAUUUAUUGGUAAUGGAUGGGCAUGCGUACCAUUAGCUAGUUGGUGAGGUAACGGCUCACCAAGGCGACGAUGGUUAGGGGGCCUGAGAGGGUGAUCCCCCACACUGGUACUGAGAUACGGACCAGACUCCUACGGGAGGCAGCAGUAGGGAAUAUUGGUCAAUGGAGGAGACUCUGAACCAGCCAUGCCGCGUGCAGGAAGACGGCCUUCUGGGUUGUAAACUGCUUUUGACAGGGAAGAAAACGGCUAUGCGUAGCUAACUGACGGUACCUUAGAAUAAGCACCGCUAACU
rnacentral:rRNA from 1 species